AUAAUUCAUAUAUUGUAAGAAAUUUGUUCACAUCAGCGUGAAAUCUUCAGUGCGAUUUGUCUUUAUUUUUAAUAACUACUUAACGGAUUUCUGACUAUCAAAUAGUUACACGUCACUUAUUUACUCCGGUAGAUUGUGUAAAUUUCUCGUCUAUGAACAAUCACGUUUUACAAUGCAAAAUUUAAAAAAUGCAUUUUGAUAUAAACUAUUUGUCAUAUAAAAGAAUCAAAUGUUUAUUAUAUCGAUUAUAGUUAUGUAAAUCGAUUAUAAUCGAAUAGAUAAUAUAAAAAUUGUUAAAUUAUUUUAAUUAUAAAUAACUGCAACUUUUUUUCCAUAUAAUGCUGCAUUUGAAUGCACUAAGGUUAAGUGUGACAGGAAGAACAAAAGAGCUCAUUGUUGUUAUAUACGAAGAGACCCAGCAAAAUGUUGCGAGGAUGUAGAUAUUUGUCAUAAAGAAAUAACCGACAGAGCUAUUGUAAACGGUGUUGUACAUUUUGAUGGUCAGACUUUCGAUGUGGAGAACAACCCGAGUUAGGUUGUGUCUGCCAGUCAGACUAUGAAGAUGUAUCAUAUUUAUGAGAUGCUGUAAGUUUGCGAAAGCGAUUUUGUGUACUGCAUACAUUUCGCCGCCAUGUCAAGUCUGUAAACGUUUUUAUGAAAUUUUUAAGAGCUCCCUGAUGAUGAAGUCAUUUCUAAUCCUGUCGAAUGGAUAAACAUGCGCGCUACGUGCCAAUACGGUACUCUGACAUUGUAAUAUGGCGAUAGACUGAGGGCAACGCAUUGUAUGGAUUGCGUAUGCGAUAAUCCACCUAUGUUGACAUUCAGUUAUAAUAAAAAUUAAUAUUUGGAAGAAUAGAAAUCACUUUUUAAAAAUUAAUUAUUAAUAUCCAAUCAAUGCCAUACAUAAUAAGAUAUUUUUUAUAAAAAAAAACUAUGAAGCAAUACAAAUUCUAAGUUCUAAGUGUCUAAUCGUCUUCGUAUCAUUAAAAAUGUACGAGAUUAUGUCAAGUGAAAGUCUGCAAUAAGUACCGACAAAAAAAUAUCGAGAUGAUCUUCGAAAAAUUUUGACAAAACGUGGAACAUUCUAACAGAAAUUCAAGGCAAUGAUUCAAGGCGAGAGGGAUAAUUUGUUUCAACACAAUAAUAGUUACGUAAUUUAAAUGAGCACGCAACGCGCGAUGACUGAUAAAGCAAAUUAUUCUAUCCAACUCGCGUUUCCUCUUCGCCUGUCCUAUUCUUUGUAUUUCUUUCGUUUCUCAUAUUGCCCAGAUUUUUCUUCGUCUCUUACGCGGGUUUACGACUCUCUUUCGUACUCUUUCAUGCUCGUCUUCAUCCUCCUUUAGCGCGUAUAUUCGCCUGUUUACUCCACCUAGGUAUACUCUAACUCUCUCUCUCAUGUGUGUCUCAACUCACUU